rnacentral:tRNA from 1 species
GGAGUUGUGGCUCAGUGGCAGAGCACUUACCUGGCAAGUGUGAGGCCCUGGGUUCGAUCCUUGGCAACACAU